GUGUACUUCAUAGAUUGAUGACUGACCAAACGCCCCUGAAAACUAGACAGACCGAAUGACCAUUAACAUCAAAUUUGAACGGACUAAGAAUGUAGAUAUCUCAGUGCUUAACCGGAGCGAACGGUGCGAAUGCUGUGUUUGUCCUGUAUAGUUAAUCCGUAAACACUACGACUCUUCGUCAUGCAAACACUGAUGGAUAUCACAAAUGGCUGCGAAAACGUCGCGAUUUUCUUAGCAGACGGAUGCAAAACAGAAUUAAUAGACAGAAAUUUCACCUAUGUCCCAUGUAAUAUUCCGAGCAGCGGGUUUGACGAGAAACUGUUUGGAGCUACUAUAGACGGAUGCACAUGUCCAGUUGAAUCUUGCGCAUCGAACACAAAUUGCGGCUGCGUCAAGUACGGAUUAAACUACACCUCGGACGGUUUACUAACGGAUGAAGGCUUAACACCAAGUAACAAUAUUGUAUUACAAGAGUGUAACUCUAACUGUACAUGCUCAGAAGAUUGCCUGAAUCGAGUGGUUCGGAAAGGAAUUAAAAUUAGAAUGGAGGUUUUUGAGAGUGACGGAAAGGGAUUAGGUGUGAAAGUGUUGGAGACUGUACGGAAAGGUCAGUUCCUGUGCGAAUAUGCCGGUGAGGUUUUGUCGAAAGCGGAAGCUAGAAAGAGGAUUGAUAACAUGAAAUAUGGUGACAUGAACUUUGUGUUUAUAAUCAGGGAAUAUACACCAUCUGGCGUGCUUUGUACCUACAUUGACCCACGUUUUAAAGGGAACGUUGGUCGUUUUAUAAAUCACGCGUGUGAGCCAAAUUUAGCCGUGCUUCCAGUUAGAAUUGAAACAGUGAUACCACACCUUUGUCUGUUCGCUUUACGAGAUAUUAGUCCUGGUGAAGAAGUGACUUAUCAUUACGGCCAAUUCGAACCAGAUGAUAGCUCAAGGAUGUACAUGAAGAAAACGAAACCAUGUAUGUGUAAAUCAAAGCACUGCAUGCGAUUUCUUCCGACAGUUAGUUGUGAUAUAAAUAUCAACAUUUAAUAAUAAUAAUGCUAAUUUGACUGAUAAUGUUGAUGCAACCAUGCUUAUUAUGAGUAUGAAUAUACUGAUGUUGAUGCUAGUUAUUGUGAUAAUAAUAUUAUUUUUAUUUUUUAUGAUGAUGCAGUAUUGUUAAAUGAGCGAAAUCGUUUCACCAAUUACAGUGAUUUUAUCCAUGUCGAUCUUUGUGUUCAAUACACUGAUACAGGGUAACAAAAAGAUAAAUUAUUAAUUCGU